rnacentral:rRNA from 1 species
UACGAAGGGUGCAAGCGUUACUCGGAAUUACUGGGCGUAAAGGGUGCGUAGGCGGUCGGGUAAGUCGGAUGUGAAAUCCCAGGGCUCAACCCUGGAACUGCAUUCGAUACUGCCUGGCUAGGGUACUGGAGAGGAGACUGGAAUUUACGGUGUAGCAGUGAAAUGCGUAGAUAUCGUAAGGAAGACCAGUGGCGAAGGCGAGUCUCUGGACAGUUACCGACGCUGAGGCACGAAGGUCAGGGGAGCAAACGGG